rnacentral:lncRNA from 1 species
AAUAAUAAUUAUUAUUAUUUAUUAAUAAAUAUUAAUAUUAAUUAUUAUUAAUAAUUAGAUAAUCAAUAUUAUUAUUAAUUUAUUAUUUACAAUUAAUUAAUAAGAAUAAUUAAUAAUAAUAAUUAUUUAUUAACAAUUAAUAAUAAUAAUAAUUAUUAUUAUUAAUUAGAUAAUCCAUAUUAUUAAUUUAUUAUUUAUAAUUAAUUAUUAAUAAUUAAUUUUUUAUUUAUUUUUAAGUAAUAUUUUUAUUACUAUUAAUUACAUAAUAUAAUUUUAAUUUCAAAUUAUAACUCUUAUUCCUCUUGUUCCAAUCUAACCAUCCAAACACUAUUUACCUUAUUCCUAGGAACAACCCAAUUUUCAUCCAAACGCAAAAUUGGUCUAGUUCCUGCUUAUACCUGAACUUGUACCUAUCCCUAAAACUAGCAGUUCUUACUUAUACCCGAACCAAACGCAGCCUUAAUGAGUUGAUCACUCAAUUUUUUUUACUGAUCUCACAAACUCAAGUGCAAUCACAUCAUCCUUCAUAUUCUACCGAAUGAACUUAUGUUUUACUUUCAUGAAUG